UGACGACAACGUCAUAUGAAUGCCAAUAUGUUUUGUUCUCACUGGAGAUGAUUGUCUCAUUCUCCACAGACCUCGGCAUAAGAUGCUACUCCCUCAGUUUGGUCCAAUGGGGACGAUAGCUUUCUUCUGGCAGAAUGUCAUAACUUUUU